GAUGAACGCUGGCGGCGUGCCUAAUACACGCAAGUCGAGCGAACUGAUUAGAAGCUUGCUUCUAUGACGUUAGCGGCGGACGGGUGAGUAACACGUGGGCAACCUGCCUGUAAGACUGGGAUAACUUCGGGAAACCGAAGCUAAUACCGGAUAGGAUCUUCUCCUUCAUGGGAGAUGAUUGAAAGAUGGUUUCGGCUAUCACUUACAGAUGGGCCCGCGGUGCAUUAGCUAGUUGGUGAGGUAACGGCUCACCAAGGCAACGAUGCAUAGCCGACCUGAGAGGGUGAUCGGCAACACUGGGACGGAGACACGGCCCAGACUCCUACGGGAGGCAGCAGUAGGGAAUCUUCCGCAAUGGACGAAAGUCUGACGGAGCAACGCCGCGUGAGUGAUGAAGGCUUUCGGGUCGUAAAACUCUGUUGUUAGGGAAGAAUAAGUACAAGAGUAACUGCUUGUACCUUGACGGUACCUAACCAGAAAGCCACGGCUAACUACGUGCCAGCCGCCGCGGUAA
rnacentral:rRNA from 1 species